AGCUAGCUGGUUCUCCCCGAAAUGCGUUUAGGCACAGCGUCAGAAUUAUCUUACAGGAGGUAGAGCACUGGUUUUGUGCGGGCGACGAAAUGUUGUACCAAACAAUGUCAAACUCCGAAUGCCUGUAAUGUUACUAUCUGGCAGUGAGGCUAUGAGUGAUAAGAUCCAUGGCCAAGAGGGAAACAGCCCAGAACGCCAGUUAAGGUCCCUAAUAUAUGCUAAGUGGUUAAGGAGGUAGAGUUGCUGAGACAACCAGGAGGUUGGCUUAGAAGCAGCCAUCCCUUGAAAGAGUGCGUAAUAGCUCACUGGUCAAGCGACUCCGCGCCGAAAAUACACCGGGACUUAAGCAUAUAACCGAAACUGCGUCAUAUAGUUUACUAUAUGGGUAGGGGAGCGUUCUGUUGUAGGAUGAAGUAAGAUCGAAAGGACUUAUGGACGAAGCAGAAGUGAGAAUGUCGGCAUAAGUAGCGAAAACAUUGGUGAGAAUCCAAUGCACCGUAAACCUAAGGUUUCCCCUGGCAGGCUCGUCCGCGGGGGGUUAGUCGGAACCUAAGCUGAGGCCGAAAGGCGUAGGCGAUGGACAUCAGGUUGAUAUUCCUGAACUAUCUGGUAAUCGUUAUCAGAUGCGGAGGGACGCAGGAGGAUAGGCACGCAGCCGACUGGAAGAGGCUGUUUAAGCGUGUAGCUAGUUUGAGUAGGAAAAUCCGCUCAGGCGUUAUGACGUGAGGCGUAAUGAGGAGGAUCUACGGAUCCGAAGGUGUUGACUCCACACUGCCAAGAAAAACUUCGCACUCGAGAUUAUCCGGUAUCCGUACCGUAAACCGCCACAGGUAGGUUAGUAGAAAAUACUAAGGUGCGCGAGACAACUCUCGCUAAGGAACUCGGCAAAAUCACCUCGUAACUUCGGGAGAAGAGGUACCCUGGUAGAGUGAAGCGAUUUACUCGUGGAGCUUGAUAGGGUCGCAGUGAAUUGGCCCAUGCGACUGUUUACCAAAAACACAGGUCUCUGCUAAGUCGAUCAAGACGAUGUAUAGGGGCUGACGCCUGCCCGGUGUCGGAAGGUUACGUGGAAGGGUUAGACUUCGGUCGAAGCUCUGAAACUAAGCCCCGAUGAACGGCGGCCGUAACUAUAACGGUCCUAAGGUAGCGAAAUUCCUUGUCAGGUAAGUUCUGACCCGCACGAAUGGCGUAACGAUAUGGGCGCUGUCUCGGCGAGAGGCUCGGCGAAAUUGGAUUAUCCGUGAAGAUACGGAUUACGUGUACCAGGACAGAAAGACCCUAUUGAGCUUUACUGUAGCUUGAAAUUGAAUUCGGGUUCUCAUUGUGCAGUAUAGGUGGGAGACAUUGAAGCAGGGACGUCAGUCUUUGUGGAGUCAUCGUUGAGAUACCACUCUGUGAUAAUUUGAAUUCUAACCUUGAUCCCUCUAAUAACAGGGCAAGGGACAGUUUCUGGUAGGCAGUUUGACUGGGGCGGUCGCCUCCUAAAAUGUAACGGAGGCGUUCAAAGGUUCCCUCAGGUUGGUCGGAAAUCAACCGUUGAGUGUAAUAGCACAAGGGAGCUUGACUGCGAGACCUACAAGUCGAGCAGGUACGAAAGUAGGAUAUAGUGAUCCGGUGGUUCUGUAUGGAAGGGCCAUCGCUCAUCGGAUAAAAGUUACCAUA
rnacentral:rRNA from 1 species